CCUACGGGUGGCAGCAGUGGGGAAUAUUGGGCAAUGGGCGAAAGCCUGACCCAGCAAUGCCGCGUGAAGGAAGAAGGUCUUAGGAUGGUAAAAUUCUGUCCGAGGGGAAGAAAAAAAUGACGGUACCAUAGGAGGAAGCCUCGGCUAACUACGGGCCAGCAGCCGCGGUAAUACGUAGGGGGCGCGCGUUGUCCGGAAUUACGGGGCGUAAAGGGAGCGUAGGCGGCACGGCAAGUCUGAUGUGAAAUCCCCGGGCUUAACGUGGGGGUUGCAUGGGAAACUGUAGAGCUUGAGUACAGGAGAGGCAAGCGGAAUUCCUCGUGUAGCGGUGAAAUGCAUAGAUAUUAGGAGGAACACCAGUGGCGAAGGCGGCUUGCUGGACUGAAACUGACGCUGAGGCUCGAAAGCGUGGGGAGCAAACAGGAUUAGAUACCCGAGUAGUC
rnacentral:rRNA from 1 species